rnacentral:sRNA from 1 species
UUGAUACCCUUGAACGCUGAGGUCUUCUGUUUUUCCACAGAACAGAUACUGAACAGAAAUUGACAGUGGGAGCUUUCCCACCCUGCCCCACCAAUAUGCCUUAAACUUUACCUUGUGUGGUCACUUCUGGAAAAGAGUGGGUACUCCCAUUUCCUGCUGACUCAGUCCUUGACUUCU